ACCAGCUGAACUCUUCUCGUGAAAUUUUUUGAUUCGAAUUUUUCCGGUUCAAUCUAUGCUUCCUAUAUUCAAAUUCAUCUUCUCCUCCAUCUUCUUCAUCAUCCUUGCAGCAAGAUUCAUCAACGGAAUCGUAUCCAGCUGAAGAUCUGCUCUGCUCGUGAAAUUUUUGAUUCGAAGUUUUUCAUUUCAAUUUAUGCUUCGGAGAUUGAAAUUCGUCUUCUCCUCCAUCUUCGAUCUUCAUCAUCCGUGCAGCUAGAUUCAUUCAUUGAAUCAGAGAUUUUACCUCUGUUUAACUGAAAUUUCCAUUAACAACAAAAAUUUGUACUCCGUUCAACUGGAUCUCUCUUUCUGAAACAAAUUGAGAUCGUGAUUUAUUUUGGAAGAUUGAUUUCAUCUAUUAAACGGGACAAAGAUGGUUGUUGCAGAGUUCAAAUUUUGCAAUCAGACCGUCUCUCAUCCUGUUUUAUUUUCAACUACUGUCAAGGAUAUGAUAAGUUUGGUGAAACAAAAGUGGCCAUAUGUUCCUGAAGACCUCAUACUUUUUGGUUACACUGUAGAUGUUACUUCAAAUGUCAUCAAUCACGAUUUGGAACUGAAGUUUUUCAUUCACUACUG